ensembl:rRNA 5S_rRNA 5S ribosomal RNA
ACUACUGUAUAUCCCAUCCUAACUUCAACAAACAGUACAAUUUUGUUUGCUUUUGGGAGCUAAGCAGGGUCAGUCCUGGCUACUAUUUGGAUGGAGGACCACUAGAUAAAACCAGGGAUCAUGAAGUG